rnacentral:rRNA from 1 species
UACGGGGGGGGCAAGCGUUGUUCGGAAUUACUGGGCGUAAAGGGCUCGUAGGCGGCCAACUAAGUCAGACGUGAAAUCCCUCGGCUUAACCGGGGAACUGCGUCUGAUACUGGAUGGCUUGAGUUUGGGAGAGGGACGCGGAAUUCCAGGUGUAGCGGUGAAAUGCGUAGAUAUCUGGAGGAACACCGGUGGCGAAGGCGGCGUCCUGGACCAACACUGACGCUGAGGAGCGAAAGCCAGGGGAGCAAACGGG